CAUGCAUUACUGGAUUUUUGGACAGCUUUAUAGUAGAACUAUUGUCACAUAACACGGUAGUGCACUUUCCUUGAGAAUGACCAAGCUUCUCCAGUACUCUCCUCAUCCAUACUCCUUGACAAGCACAAGAAGCAGCUGCCACAAACUCUGCUUCAGUAGUUGACAAAGUAACCACAGGCUGCUUUUUAGAAGACCAUGCCACAGCUCCUUCACUGAGCAAAAACACAUAGCCAGAAGUACUUUUCCUAUCAUCCACAUCCCCUGCAUAGUCACUGUCUGUAUAUGCCAUUAGUUCACCAUUACCCUCCUUCUGAAAAAAAACUCCCAAAUCUACAGUACCUUUCAAGUACCUUAACACCCUUUUCGCAGCUUGCAGAUGCAUCUCAGUUGGACUUGCCAUGAACCUGCUAAUAAGACACACCACAUACAUCAAAUCUGGUCUUGUAGCAGUCAGAUACAUAAGACUUCCAACUAAUUGUUUGUAUUUAGUAGCAUCCACCUUAACUCCGUCUUCAUUCUUCGUUAAUCUAUCUCCAGGAACAAUGGGAUUCUUCACACUAUUACUUUUCUCCAUCCCAAACCUCUCCAACACUUCUUUUGCAUACUUCCUCUGACUAAUAUAAAUACCCUCAGAAUUUUGUAAAACCUCCACACCCAGAAAAUACUUCAUCUUUCCCAAAUCAGUCAUAUCAAAUUCAAGUUUCAUAGAAUUCUUGAAUUUAACAAACAUACUCUCAUCAUUACCAGUAAAAAUUAGAUCAUCAACAUAUAAGCUAACAAUCAAAAUUUUACCUCCAUCUCCUGUUUUGAUGAACAAUGUGUGAUCACAACUGCAUCUCUCAAACCCUUCCUUGAUAAAGUAUGCUUCAAUUCGACUAUACCAUGCACGAGGAGCUUGUUUAAGCCCAUACAAUGCCUUCUUUAGUUUGUACACCUUAUGCUCUUCACCUUUCUUUUCAUAGCCCUGUGGUUGCUCGAUAAACACUGCUUCAUUUAGCUCACCAUGUAAGAAAGCACUUUUGACAUCAAGCUGGUACACACUCCAACCAUUUCGAGCUGCUAAAGCAAUCACCAUUCUAAUUGUAUCCCACCUGGCCACAGGAGCAAACACCUCAGUAUAGUCUAUGCCAUGUUGUUGUGCAUACCCUUUUGCCACCAGCCGAGCUUUACACUUGUCAACCUUGCCAUUUUCAUUGAGUUUGGUUUUGAAAACCCACUUUACUCCAAUCUUCUUCACUCCUUCAGGCAAGUCCGUCAGCUCCCAAGUCUCAUUCCUUUCUAUUGCUUCUAUUUCCAAGUCCAUUGCAGCUCUCCACUUGGAACUUUGAACAGCUUCUUCAAAAAUAGUUGGAUCUGCAGUUGAGGUAAAUAGGACCAAGUUGUUGUGUUCAACAUCGCCUUCUGAAAAUUCUCCCCCACUCACAUAAUCUUCCAUCCAGAAUGGUACUCUUCUGUUCCUCCCUUGUUGUGAGCUUGGUGAGCUUUCUCCAGAUACUCCUGAAUUUUCACCAAGUGACUCACUCAAAGAACCAAGUGACUCACUCGAAGACAAGCUGUCCUCUCUUCCUCUUCCCUCUACUGCCACCCCCUCUUCAGCGUCAUCUUCACCUUGUUCGUCUUCACUCCCUUCUUCAUUGCUAUCUCCCCAUUCAAGCACAUCAAGUCUUACUUCUUCAUUACUCCUCCCCCAAUUCCAGCAUUUAUCUUCUUCGAAAACAACAUCUCUGCUUACAACUAUCUUCUUGGACACUGGAUCAUAAAGUCUAUAUGCUUUAGACUCUUCACUCAUCCCUAGCAACACACAUUGAAAGCUCUUAUCAUCUAGCUUCUUUCUCUUGUUAUCUGGCACAUGAACAUGGCCAAUGCAUCCAAAAACCCGAAAAUAAUCAACAUUGGGUUUAACACCACUCCAAGCCUCUUCAGGGGUCACGCCUUUUACUGCCAAUGUAGGACUUCUAUUGAGCACAUGAGCUGUCCAGUUCACUGCUUCUGGCCAGAAAUUCUUUGGGACUUGCUUCUCCGAUAACAUGCUUCUAACCAUGUUCAUGAUUGUCCUGUUCUUGCGCUCAGCUACUCCGUUUUGUUGAGGAGUAUAGGCUGCAGUGAGUUGCCUACUAAUACCAUUAGUUUUGCAAAAGGCAUUGAAUUCGAGAGAUGUGAACUCUCCACCCCUAUCUGUGCGCAAACAACAAAUAGAAGCUCCUGUCUCUUUCUCAACAAGAUUUUUGUAAUUCUUGAAGGUUUGAUGGGUCCACAAAUGUCAGCAUGUACCAACUGUAGCCUCUGUGAUGCUCUCCACAAGCUCCUCUUUGGAAUUGCGUCCCUGUGUUGCUUUCCCACCAUGCAAUCAGUGCAUACUUUGGAUGAUGCUUUCAGCUGUGAACCUCGAACUCCCUUCGAAGUGCUUGAAGUUGUGCCCUUUUGACUCUUGUGGAACCUUGAUACUUCUGCUUCAUAGAGUCCCAGAUAUGCUUACCAGACUCUUUAUUGAGGAUGGUCUCCAUAAUGUUUCGAUCUAUGGCUUGGAACAGAUAAUUCUUAACCUUCAAGUCUUUCAGCUUGUGAUCUGCAAUUGCCUUCUGUUGAGCUUCAGUAGGCUCUAUUCCUUCUGCUGCAGCAGGGAUUCCAUUCUCCACCAAGCUCCAAUACUCCUUUGAACGAAGAAAAUUUUCCAUAAGCAUAGACCAAUGAUCAUAAUGGCCAUCGAACUUAGGAAUUGCAGGUUGAACAAAGUUACUACUUUCAGCUGCCAUACUUUGAUCACUCUUUCUCUUAUCUUACUCUCUUUUUACUCUUUCUCUCUACAAGAAACUGCGGUUUCUUUUCUCUCAUAAUCAGGCCCCAUGAUGGGGCUCUGAUACCAGAUUGUUGUAAACUAUAGACAUAAUGCAAUUCACUCACAAUAUGAGAAUGAGUCUUAUUCAAAUCAAAACAAGCUACAGCUUAUAUAAGCCUUACAAAAGAGAUUAAAAAGGAAACAAACAGCCCACGUAAGAACGUGGUAAAUGGCUAAGGAAAUAGUCAAAUCCUACCAACAUGUCCCAAAAACUAGGAACUAUUAACAGAAUGAAAUUCUAACAACUUUGACUACUUUAACUGAACAUCCCAACAUAUUUUACAUAGAAAUGAAUCUAUCCCCACAACGUAAUGCAAAAAGCACUCCCGAAACACUAAAUAACGGAGGCUGCAUGAGUGCAGUGCCUCCGCCAAAAGAGUUCCUAGUCUCACCAGUCUGAUCCAGAGGGAAAUUCUUCUAGCCAGGCUUCCCAAGGGGAGAACUCUUCAGCUGGUGGGGUAAGCACGUUUUCCUCUGAAACCAUCAGUGCUGGAGUCGAACCUUCAUUUGUAGCAUUCCCAUACAAAGAGCCAAGACCAGGAUGGGCUGCAUAGUUGUUGUAGUCUGAUCCAGAGGGAAAUUCUUCUAGCCAGGCUUCCCAAGGGGAGAACUCUUCAGCUGGUGGGGUAAGCACGUUUUCCUCUGAAACCAUCAGUGCUGGAGUCGAACCUUCAUUUGUAGCAUUCCCAUACAAAGAGCCAAGACCAGGAUGGGCUGCAUAGUUGUUGUAAACUGUUGGAUUCUCCAUAGCCUCAUAAUUGAAACCGCGUGUUUGACUGGGGAGAUCCUCCGCAGGGUCUGUUGAAAUUAGACCGAUUUCAUGGAGUGGUGUCUGAGAAGAAGAGGGAAUAUCCUUUUUCGAAAGCUUCUUCUUUAAACGGGUGUUAUAAUAGUUCUUGAUUUCAUUGUCAGUUCGGCGAUCAAGCACUCCCGCCAUCUUUGCCCAUCUGAAAGAACAAGACAAUCUCCUCAAAUGUAUGAAUUUUCAUAAUCGAAAAAGACGAACAAAAUCAGGAGAUUCCCAUUACUCGUUGCCAAUAAGAGAAUGGAGCUUCAUAAUGGAGUUCUCUUCGUCUUGAGAAAAGUUUCCCCUUUUGAUACCAGGCCUCAUAUAUUUGGUCCACCUCAACCAGCAACUCUUCCUACUCCUGUUCAGACCUGCAGCAUUUGGGACGUCUGUCCACCGUACACUUUUAUGAUCACGUUCCUUCAUAUAGCUCAAGAGUUUCUCAUCUUCUUCUGGAGUCCAGAAUCGGCGCUUCUUGAGCCCACUCUGCUCAUGUGCCUGCAGUGAUCCAGCCAUCAUGGAUUACCUGCAAAAGAUAGAAGAAAAGCUUAUGAAUUUUCCAUGAAAUGCUGAAAACGUUUGUACACAACUUCUGAAAGCUUACAGAUUUCACAAAUGCUUAAGAGUGGUAUGUGGCGGUUGCGGAGACAUCUAUUUAUAUUUCACCCAACUUGCAUCGAAAACAUGUAACAGCUCAGAUGAGUGGGGUCAAUUAGUUAUUUUAUUUACGUCUUGAAUCGACUUCCUACAUCCCUUUCUCGUUAAAAUUAUUGAA